rnacentral:rRNA from 1 species
GUACUACUCUCAGUAGUUUGAUCCUGGCUCAGGACGAACGCUGGCGGCGUGCCUAACACAUGCAAGUCGAACGGGGUAGAGAGCUUCGGUUUUCUACUUAGUGGCGAACGGGUGAGUAACGCGUGAGAAACCUGCCUUUCAGUGGGGGACAACAGUUGGAAACGACUGCUAAUACCGCAUGACACUUUAGUACCGCAUGGUACAGAAGUCAAAGCUUAAUGUGCCGAAAGAUGGUCUCGCGUCUGAUUAGCUAGAUGGCGGGGUAACGGCCCACCAUGGCGACGAUCAGUAGCCGGUCUGAGAGGAUGAACGGCCACAUUGGGACUGAGAUACGGCCCAG